CCCCUGACUCUGGGAUAAGCGCUGGAAACGGCGUCUAAUACUGGAUAUGUGACGUGACCGCAUGGUCUGCGUCUGGAAAGAAUUUCGGUUGGGGAUGGGCUCGCGGCCUAUCAGCUUGUUGGUGAGGUAAUGGCUCACCAAGGCGUCGACGGGUAGCCGGCCUGAGAGGGUGACCGGCCACACUGGGACUGAGACACGGCCCAGACUCCUACGGGAGGCAGCAGUGGGGAAUAUUGCACAAUGGGCGCAAGCCUGAUGCAGCAACGCCGCGUGAGGGACGACGGCCUUCGGGUUGUAAACCUCUUUUAGCAGGGAAGAAGCGAAAGUGACGGGACCUGGCAAAAAAACGCCCGGUAACUUCCUGCCAGCCGCCCGGGUAAUUCGUAGGGCGCAAGGGUUUUCCGGAAUUAUUGGGCGUAAAGAACUCGUAAGCGGUUUGUCCCGUCUGCUGGGAAAUCCGGAAGCUCAACCUCCGGGCUGCAGUGGGUACGGGCAGACUAGAGUGCGGUAGGGGAGAUUGGAAUUCCUGGUGUAGCGGUGGAAAUGUAAAAAAAAG
rnacentral:rRNA from 1 species